GUUCAUGGGCUCAGGAUGAACGCUAGCGACAGGCUUAACACAUGCAAGUCGAGGGGCAGCAUGAUUUGUAGCAAUACAGAUUGAUGGCGACCGGCGCACGGGUGAGUAACGCGUAUGCAACUUACCUAUCAGAGGGGGAUAGCCCGGCGAAAGUCGGAUUAAUACCCCAUAAACAGGGGUCCCGCAUGGGAAUAUUUGUUAAAGAUUCAUCGCUGAUGGAUAGGCAUGCGUU
rnacentral:rRNA from 1 species